rnacentral:rRNA from 1 species
GACACUCUAUACGGAGUUACAAAAGAAAGUUAUAAAUGAAGCGGUCUGGAAAGGCCCGCCAAAGACGGUAACAGCCCGGUAGUUGAAAUGGCUUUCCCUCCAGAGUGGAUCCUGAGUACGGCGGAACACGUGAAAUUCCGUCGGAAUCCGGGAGGACCAUCUCCCAAGGCUAAAUACUCCCUAGUGACCGAUAGUGAACCAGUACCGUGAGGGAAAGGUGAAAAGCACCCCGGAAGGGGAGUGAAACAGUUCCUGAAACCGUGUGCCUACAAGUAGUUAGAGCCCGUUAAUGGGUGAUAGCGUGCCUUUUGUAGAAUGAACCGGCGAGUUACGAUUUGUUGCAAGGUUAAGCGGAAAAAGCGGAGCCGUAGCGAAAGCGAGUCUGAAUAGGGCGCAUAAGUAACAGGUCGUAGACCCGAAACCAGGUGAUCUACCCAUGUCCAGGAUGAAGGUAAGGUAAUACUUACUGGAGGUCCGAACCCACGCACGUUGAAAAGUGCGGGGAUGAGGUGUGGGUAGCGGAGAAAUUCCAAUCGAACUUGGAGAUAGCUGGUUCUCUCCGAAAUAGCUUUAGGGCUAGCCUCGAGGUAAAGAGUCAUGGAGGUAGAGCACUGUUUGGACUAGGGGCCCUUCUCGGGUUACCGAAUUCAGAUAAACUCCGAAUGCCAUGUACUUAUACUCGGGAGUCAGACUGCGAGUGAUAAGAUCCGUAGUCGAAAGGGAAACAGCCCAGACCACCAGUUAAGGUCCCCAAAUAUAUGUUAAGUGGAAAAGGAUGUGGGGUUGCUUAGACAACCAGGAUGUUGGCUUAGAAGCAGCCACCAUUGAAAGAGUGCGUAAUAGCUCACUGGUCGAGUGACCCCGCGCCGAAAAUGUACCGGGGCUAAACAUAUUACCGAAACUGUGGAUGAACCUCUUUAGAGGUUCGUGGUAGGAGAGCGUUCUAAGGGCGGUGAAGUCAGACCGGAAGGACUGGUGGAGCGCUUAGAAGUGAGAAUGCCGGUAUGAGUAGCGAAAGAAGGGUGAGAAUCCCUUCCACCGAAUAUCUAAGGUUUCCUGAGGAAGGCUCGUCCGCUC